rnacentral:lncRNA from 1 species
CCUACGACCUCAGGUCCUCAGACCGACCAGCCGAAGAAACAUCUCACCAAUUUCAAAUCCGACCCAUGUGACCUCUCCCCUCCUCACCAGCCCAAGCUAGGUCCCAAUUCUUCCUCAGCCUCCGCUCUUGCACCCUGUAAUCUUUUUAUCGCCUCCCCUCCUCACACCUGGUCAGGCUUACAGUUUCGUUCCGUGACUAGCCCUCCCCCACCUGCCCAGCAAUUCACUCUUAAAAAGGUGGCUGGAGCCAAAGGUAUAGUCAAGGUUAAUGCUCCUUUUUCCUUAUCCCAAAUCAGAUAGCGUUUAGGCUCUUUUUCAUCAAAUAUAAAAAUCCAGCCCAGUUCAUGGCUUGUUUGGCAGCAACCCUGAGAUACUUUACAGCCCUAGACCCUAAAAGGUCAAGUGCCAUCUUAUUCUCAAUAUACAUUUUAUUACCCAAUCUGCUCCCGACAUUAAAUAAAACUCCAAAAAUUAAAUUCCGGCCCUCAAACCCCACAACAGGAUUUAAUUAACCUCGCCUUCAAGGUGUACAAUAAUAGAAAAAAGUUGCAAUUCCUUGCCCCCACUGUGAGACAAACCCCAGCCACAUCUCCAGCACACAAGAACUUCCAAACGCCUGAACUGAGUUCCUCCAGAACCUCCUUCCCCAGGAGCUUGCUACAAGUGCCAGAAAUCUGACCACCAGGCCAAGGAAUGCCUGUAGCCCAGGAUUCCUUCUAAGCUGUGUCCCAUCUGUGCGGGACCCCACUGGAAACUGGACUGUUCAACUCACCUGGCAGCCACUCCCAGAGCCCCUGGAACUCUGGCCCAAGGCUCUCUGACUGACUCCUUCUCGGCUUAGCGGCUGAAGACUGUUGCUGCCCGAUCGCCUCGGAAGCCCCGUAGACCAUCACGGACGCCGAGCUUCCAGUAACUCACAGUGAAAGCUUGUUUAAUGAAGCUAGCUUCAAUGCUGUGAGCUGCUCUAUAGACGCCCAUGUAGGAGGAAACUCAAGGGGCCCCCAGCCACUAGCCAUUGAGGAACUGAGGCCCUCAAUCCAACAACCCACAAGGAACUGAAUCCUGCCAACAACCACUGAGUGAGCCUGGAAGCGGAUCCUGCCCAGCUGAAACUCGAGAAGAUUGUAGCUCUGCUGCCCUGACCACUAUUCUAACUGCACCCUUGAGAGAGACCCUCAGCCAGCUAAUCUGUACCUGGAUUCCUAACCUGGAGAAACUGAAAUAGCAACGCAUGUUGAUGUAAGUGCUAAGUUUGGGAGUAAUUUGUUAUGUAACAAUAAAUAACUAAUAAUACUUAUUAUUUAGGCAAUAAAACCAUAGAAAAUACUUCUCAGGGAUGUUUUCUCCAUAAGAUAAUCAGAUUUUAAAUCAUCAAGUUCUAUACAGAUGUAUAUUAUCAUUUGUUUUCUACCCAGUAAAUAGGUUCCUCUCCUAAACACUCCACUUGCUCCCUUUGACCAGCCAGAGGAAGUUCUGCCUUCCUCCAAAUGACCCAUCAAUAUAUUUGUCUGGAGUUUUUAUUUCUGUCACAAUUCUGUUUCACCACUUGGGUUUGUUGUGCCUACGCUGUGGGCAGGACCACCUCACAGAAGACAAUGGGUGGGCGAUGGUGAGAAGUGAGUUGAGGGUGCAAAAGGAUACUAUAUCACGGGACUCCCAAAUCACUAAGCCAAAGAAAAAGGUCAAGCUGGGAACUGCUUAGGGCAAACCUGCCUCCCAUUCUAUUCCUCAAAAAGAUAGCUACUAACAUAAAAAAAGCUACAUACCUCCCUCACAAUUUGUCUACAAGGAAAUUCCUUGUGGACAAAUGACAGACAGAUGUCAAAGUCAUCCCUCUGCUCACUGAGAUAAAUGCAUAUCUGAUUGCUUCCCUGGGAAAGGCUAAUCAGACACUCAAAAGAAUGCAACCAUUUGUCUCUUCUGUACCUAUGACCUGGAAACCCCCUUCCUGCUGCGAGUUGUCCCACCUUUCCAAACCAAGCCAAUGUAAAUCUUGCGUAUAUUGAUUGAUGUCUAACGUCUCCCUAAAAUGUAUAAAACCGAGCUGCGCCCCGACCAUCUUGGGCACAUGUCACUAAGACCUCCUGAGGCUGUGUCAUGGGUGUGUUCUUAACCUUGGCAAAAUAAACUUUCUAAUGCAAGUCGAAACCACAGUGAGAUACCAUCUCACACCAGUUAGAAUGGCGAUCAUUAAAAAGUCAGGAAACAACAGGUGCUGGAGAGGAUGUGGAGAAAUAGGAACACUUUUACACGGUUGGUGGGACCGUAAGCUAGAUCAACCAUUGUGGAAGUCAGUGUGGUGAUUCCUCAGGGAUCUAGAACUAGAAAUGCCAUUUGACCCAGCCAUCCCAUUACUGGGUAUAUACCCAAAGGAUUAUAAAACAUGCUGCUAUAAAGACACAUGCACACGUAUGUUUAUUGUGGCACUAUUCACAAUAGCAAAGACUUGGAACCAACCCAAAUGUCCAACAAUGAUAGACUGGAUUAAGAAAAUGUGGCACAUAUACACCAUGGAAUACUAUGCAGCCGUAAAAAAGGAUGAGUUCAUGUCCUUUGUAGGGACAUAGAUGAAGCUGGAAACCAUCAUUCUCAGCAAACUAUGGCAAGGACAAAAAACCAAACACCACAUGUUCUCACUCAUAGGUGGGAAUUGAACAAUGAGAACACAUGGACGCAGGAAGGGGAACAUCACACUCUGGGGCCUGUUGUGGGGUGGGGGGAGGGGGGAGGGAUAGCAUUGGGAGAUAUACCUGAUGUUAAAUGAUGAGUUAAUGGGUGCAGCACACCAACAUGGCACAUGUAUACAUAUGUAACAAACCUGCACAUUGUGCACAUGAACCCUAAAACUUAAAGUAUAAUAAAAAAAAUAAAAAAAUAAACUUUCUAAAUUAAUUGAGACCUGUCUCAGAUACUUUUUGGGUUACAAGGGUAAAGGAAGGCUGCCCCCCAAAACUAUUCUUACCCAGCUUUUGUCACUGACAAACUCCUACCAGUAUAAUAGGGAUAAGAAUCAUAAUAACAACUACUACCAAUUUUUGAGCAACUUCUUUGUGCCAGGAACUUUGCAAAUAUUCUUUCAGAUCCUCACCACAACCCUGGGGAAAAAAAUCCAGAGAGUUUAAACCACUUAGUCAAUGGUAGGCAGUUAGCACAUGUCAGAGCUGAGGUUAGAACAAAACUCCUCUCUCUUGUAUUUGCUUAUUUCUUAUCUUCUAGGGCUGUGUGCCUAAACAAACUAUUUUCAAUAAAGUUAGAAUUUAUUGGUUU